CAAAGCCACACCUAAAACCCGCUGACCACAGGAUCAUGUGCUCAGAUGCAGCACUGGAAAAUGUAAUUUGCUUUCCAAAGUGAACUGCCAAGAUCAGACACGGAUGGACCUUACCUGGAGUCCACCAAGCCAUAGAUCCAUCCACCUCCGCUCCGAGUCCGCAGAUAGAGAGUGGAACAGUGAAAAAGAAAACCAACGAAAUAAUCGCCUAUGGGUCUUCGAGUCAAACAGACCUAGAGUUCAAAUUCCAGCGGGUCACUUACCAGCUGGGUGUAUAUCGGGCCUCAUUCCAGAAACGAUUUUUAAAACCUCUUACAAACUGUAUCAUGUAGAAGCUGAACUAAAACUUAUAAUAAAGAUUGGGAAAAUACGGACUAACAGGCAGAGCUGCUAAGCUUGAAAAAAUUGUUCAUCAUUAAACAGAAACGUUUCAGCAUAAAUCUAAUACUUCAUUACUUCAUGAAAACGGAGAUCAGAUGCACCCUUUACAGUCAUUUCAUAGCAUCAUCAAUAGAAAAAAAUUGGGCCUACACAAUGGCAAAACUGUCAGUUAAUUUGGUCAGUUUAGGUAAAGAAGUCUGUUCUGUGAGACAGAGAGAAAUUGGAAGAGAAAUAUUAAUCAAAUUGAUUUUACUAAUAUUGCGAUGCAGCCACAACUUUCAUUUGGUUGGACUCAUUCAAACAUUUAAAAGCUGCCAUAAAAAUAAUAUUGCUAUUUCCAUUUUCCAAAAGGAAAAACUAACUAAAUCAAUUUCUUAGCUGUACAAAAAUAGCCUGCUGGGAAAUGACAGACUGUGAGCAGAGCUCAUGAAUUAAACCCAACUUUGGUCUGCCAGUUCUGGGUAAUCAAGCUCCACAAUUUGCCCGUGGAAAUCAGCGACUCUUAAAUGCAUGGAAUGACCCCUCAACAGACAAACAGGGAGACGAUUCCCACGGCCCCUUUAAAACACUAACCAUCCGGAGGUAGUUAGGGACUGCAUUUGUUUUUUCUUCCCAUUGCUCGCAUUUCCACUUAGGGAAUGUGUGAGAGAAUAUCAUCUCUCUAUGCUGCUGUCACUUGGAAUGUACACACGAUGCUGACUGUUGAAGGGGUGCCAGGCUAAAAGAGCAAGAAAACACACCUACAGAUGAAGAGCUGCUCCAGUAAGAGGAAUCAAGGUCUGUUCAAAGAGGAACCAGAAAACUGUAGCCUUCUGUAAAUGCUGCUUUGCAAAGUAAGUAAUAAAAUACACUAAUGCAACCAAGCAGAACGCUUACAUAACCGUGACCAGAAUGAGGGCAAAGGGAUUGAUCGCUCCAAAUCCAUCUCAGUUAUUUCAAACACUGAUUUCCCUUGAAACGGCAUAUACUUUAUAACGAAAUUCACUUCGAGUUACC
ensembl:lncRNA